rnacentral:tRNA from 1 species
UCCCUGGUGGCUUAGAGGGUAAAGCCUCUGUCUGCAAUGCAGGAGACCCAGGUUUGAUCCCUGGGUCGGGAA